rnacentral:lncRNA from 8 species
AUGGUGUCUUUUGUGUGUGCUCUAGGAGAGGACACCAAGAGGCUGUAUCCAAGAGGCAGAAGUGAUAAUGGUCCAACGUGUUCACUAGAGGUGGGGGGGCUUUGGACACUGAGCCUUGCUUUUCAACUAGCCAGCGAGCUCUCCCAACAAAUCGUGACACUUGUGAAAUGGAAAACCAUCAAACACGGGGAGCUCCAAGAUCUUCUUGCUAGACAAAACAUGACUUAUUCGGAAUGUGUCAGAGACAUGUAUCGGUGUCAAAACCUUCCAAUUGGAGAUAUGGUUAAGAACUACUUCAAAACAGCUUGAAGACUUUCUUUCACAUGAG